rnacentral:rRNA from 1 species
CCUACGGGGGCAGCAGUGGGGAAUUUUGGACAAUGGGGGCAACCCUGAUCCAGCCAUUCCGCGUGAGUGAAGAAGGCCUUCGGGUUGUAAAGCUCUUUUGUCCGGAGCGAAACGGUACGGGUGAAUAUCCCGUGCUACUGACGUGUACCUGAGGAAUAAGCAUCGGCUAACUCCGUGCCAGCAGCCGCGGUAAGACGGAGGAUGCAAGUGUUAUCCGGAAUCACUGGGCGUAAAGCGUCUGUAGGUGGUCAAAUAAGUCAACUGUUAAAUCUUGAGGCUCAACCUCAAAAUCGCAGUCGAAACUAUUAGACUAGAGUAUAGUAGGGGUAAAGGGAAUUUCCAGUGGAGCGGUGAAAUGCGUAGAGAUUGGAAAGAACACCGAUGGCGAAGGCACUUUACUGGGCUAUUACUAACACUGAGAGACGAAAGCUAGGGUAGCAAAUGGGAUUAGAUACCCCGGUANUC